rnacentral:rRNA from 1 species
AUUGAACGCUGGCGGCAGGCCUAACACAUGCAAGUCGAGCGAGUGGCGGACGGGUGAGUAAUGUAUGGGAAUCUGCCCUAUGGAGGGGGAUAACUACGGGAAACUGUAGCUAAUACCGCAUACUAUAGGAUGAGCCCAAAUGGGAUUAGCUAGUUGGUGGGGUAAAGGCUCACCAAGCCGACGAUCUCUAGCUGGUCUGAGAGGAUGACCAGCCACACUGGGACUGAGACACGGCCCAGACUCCUACGGGAGGCAGCAGUGGGGAAUAUGGCACAAUGGGCGCAACCCUGAUGCAGCCAUGCCGCGUGUAUGAAGAAGGCCUUAGGGUUGUAAAGUACUUUCAGCGGGGAGGCGUUACCUGCAGAAGAAGCACCGGCUAACUCCGUGCCAGCAGCCGCGGUAAUUC